GCCGUACACUAAUAGUCUUUUGCGGUCUUUGAAACACAAAACAAGUUUUGUAAUUAUUAUUAGCAAUAUUUCUGUUGCCCAACGCCGAACAGCCAAUGUACGGAAUCAUUGAAGUGCUAGAUGUUCUUUUAAUUUGUCACUUCAAGUCACUUCGUUUACUCUAACGGAGGACCAAGCAGUUGGCCGAGCACUUGUUCCAUUUAUCAUCAGCAUUCUGAAGUUCCUCUUCGGAGUCAGCUAUUUUUUUGGCAUAUUGCUCCAGCCUGUCCUCGAGUGUUUCCACAGCUUGAGUUCUCUCAGCAAGACACAUGUUGUUUUGAUUCGACAUCAGUAGAUCUGAGCCAUUCAACUUUUGCUUCGUUCAAAUACUCUUUCAGGGACUGGAAUAAUGAGAAUGUUGUUAAAAUUACACUGCAAAUACGUUGGAAAAUAUAUCGUAUGGUAAAGAACAAAUUGAUGUACCUUAAUUUGGUCCUCACGAGCCGAUAGCUGUUUCUUCAGUUCUUCGA